rfam:Camelus ferus unplaced genomic scaffold scaffold365, whole genome shotgun sequence.
GAGGGUAUAGCUCAAGUGGUAGAGCGCAUACUUAGCAUGCUUGAAAUCCUGGGUUCAAUUCCCAGUACCUUCU